UACAAUGAGAGUUUCUGUUUGAUUUUCUGC
rnacentral:piRNA from 1 species